rnacentral:miRNA from 1 species
UGAGGCAGGAGAAUUGCUUGAACCCAGGAGGCGGAGGUUGCAGUGAGCCGAGAUCGUGCCACUGCACUCCAGCCUGGGUGACACAGCGAGACUCCGUCUC